UACGUAGGCAGCGAGCGUUGUUCGGAGUUACUGGGCGUAAAGGGUGUGUAGGCGGUUGUUUAAGUUUGGUGUGAAAUCUCCCGGCUCAACCGGGAGGGUGCGCCGAAAACUGGGAGACUAGAGUGCGGGAUGGGAGAGUAGAAUUCCUGGUGUAGCGGUGAAAUGCGUAGAUAUCAGGAGGAAUACCGGUGGUGUAGACGGCUCUCUGGACCGCCACUGACGCUGAGACACGAAAGCGUGGGUAGCAAACAGG
rnacentral:rRNA from 1 species